GGGAGUGUAGCUCAGUGGUAGUGCGUUCACUUUGCAUGUGAAAGCCCCGGGAUUAGAUCCCCUUGCACCUUCA